rnacentral:rRNA from 1 species
GACUGCGGAGGAUCAUUAUCGUAGGGCUUCGGCCCUGUCGAGAUAGAACCCUUGCCUUUUUGAGUACCUUUCGUUUCCUCGGCAGGCUCGCCUGCCAAUGGGGACCACAAAAAACACUUUGCAGUACCUGUAACAGUCUGAACAAACAAACAAAAAUUAAAACUUUCAACAACGGAUCUCUUGGUUCUGGCAUCGAUGAAGAACGCAGCGAAAUGCGAUAAGUAAUGUGAAUUGCAGAAUUCAGUGAAUCAUCGAAUCUUUGAACGCACAUUGCGCCCUCUGGUAUUCCGGGGGGCAUGCCUGUUCGAGCGUCAUUACAACCCUCAAGCUUUGCUUGGUAUUGGACAUUGCCAGUUUCUGGCAGGUCUUAAAAUCAGUGGCGGUGCCAUUUGGCUUCAAGCGUAGUAAUUCUUCUCGCUUUGGAGAUCCAGGUGGUUACUUGCCAAUAACCCCCAAUUUUUUCAGGUUGACCUCGGAUCAGGUAGGGAUACCCGCUGAACUUAAGCAUAUCAAUAAGCGGAGGA